UACGGGGGGGGCAAGCGUUGUUCGGAAUUACUGGGCGUAAAGGGCUCGUAGGCGGCCAACUAAGUCGGAUGUGAAAUCCCCAGGCUUAACCUGGGAACUGCAUCCGAUACUGGAUGGCUUGAAUCCGGGAGAGGGAUGCGGAAUUCCAGGUGUAGCGGUGAAAUGCGUAGAUAUCUGGAGGAACACCGGUGGCGGAAGGCGGCAUCCUGGACCGGCAUUGACGCUGAGGAGCGAAAGCCAGGGGAGCAAACGGGG
rnacentral:rRNA from 1 species